GCAAUAUAGUGGGAGCCGGGUCCUGGUAAACAGGUUGAGUUGGUCUCGUAAUCUCGGGUGGACUGCCAAUCCACCGUCGCACCACUCUCAUGGGCU
rfam:Opium poppy mosaic virus isolate PHEL5235, complete genome.